AUUCAGAGCAAGGCUUCUCAUCCCAACACUUCCCAGUAUUAAGAUGCAGCUGGGCACUGGACUCUGGAGAUGAAGAGAAAGAAGGAAGAGAGAAACUGCAACUCCAAAGAUAUCUCAGCAUCACUUGACUGUGAAGUGGAGCAGAAGGAAGCAUCCAUGGAAGAGAUCUGGAGAGUGGGUCCUGGAUGAGGACAUGACCUUCAGGAUGCCCUUUCCAUCACUCACCAAAGCAGCUGAGGAGCUCCUGUUACAGAACAGCUAUGUGAAUAAAUCGCCUAUAAAUAAUAUGAGAAGAUUCCUAAGGAGGGAAAUACAGCUAAUGAUGACCAGAGGAAUGAGGGUAACCACCAACAACUGUAAGGCCAUGGAUGCUCCAUGAAUCUGAGCUAAGGGAGGAAGGGACAACCAUUCACUGGGCAAGCACAGCGACAUUUGGAUGCAUAGUUCAACUUUUUCUGAGGACAUCAUACGUCUGAUGACAGUCGUCCUUUCACAGAGCUCUCUACUUACAGAUCUUGGAUGUGAUACGUGGAUUUCACUGUUGUCUGCAUUGCUUACCUUACUCAGAUGAUUAUAUAUUACUCUGUUUCGCUUUUUACGGUUGUAACAAAAUAUAGCGCACUAUCUCAGGGAGAACAGCCACCUUGAACCUUUCUAAGUGCUCUUUCAGUUGUAUUCUGUCUCUGGAUAUAAAUAUAAAAUAACAUACAUUUGUAUAUCUUC